ACGCACGCUGGCGGCGCGCCUAACACCUGCCAGUCGAACGAGCGAGAGAGAGCUUGCUUUCUCGAGCGAGUGGCGAACGGGUGAGUAACGCGUGAGGAACCUGCCUCAAAGAGGGGGACAACAGUUGGAAACGACUGCUAAUACCGCAUAAGCCCACGGCUCGGCAUCGAGCAGGGGGAAAAGGAGCAAUCCGCUUUGAGAUGGCCUCGCGUCCGAUUAGCUAGUUGGUGGGGUAACGGCCCACCAAGGCGACGAUCGGUAGCCGGACUGAGAGGUUGAACGGCCACAUUGGGACUGAGACACGGCCCAGACUCCUACGGGAGGCAGCAGUGGGGAAUAUUGCACAAUGGGGGAAACCCUGAUGCAGCGACGCCGCGUGGAGGAAGAAGGUCUUCGGAUUGUAAACUCCUGUUGUUGGGGAAGAUAAUGACGGUACCCAACAAGGAAGUGACGGCUAACUACGUG
rnacentral:rRNA from 1 species